GAAGCCAACCAGAUGAUCGCGGAGGUAAGGACCCAAAGGUCGCCUCUGAGGAAAGUCCGAGCUCCAUAGGGCAAGGUGCUGGGUAACACCCAGUGGGGGAGACCCCAAGGAAAGUGCAACAGAGAGAUACCGCCGAUAACGGAGGUCAGUUGUCAGAGGCCAGAGGUUAGAAUAAGUUUGUUCUAAUCCGACUUCCGGCUUCUGACGACUGACCUCCGAGUAGGUAAGGGUGGAAAGGCGAGGUAAGAGCUCACCGGCAGUCAGGCGACUGGCUGGCCAUGUAAACCCCACCUGGAGCAAGACUGAAUAGGGGAACUAUGAACGGCCCGUUUUUGUUCCCGGGUAAGGUCGCUAGAGGCCGUCGGUAACGGCGGUUCGAGAUAGAUGAUCAUCACCUCCGAACGGAGGGACAGAACUCGGCUUAUAGGUUGACUUCGCAU
rnacentral:RNase_P_RNA from 2 species